AGCAGCCGCGGUAAUUCCAGCUCCAAUAGCGUAUAUUAAAGUUGUUGCAGUUAAAAAGCUCGUAGUUGAAUUUCGGGAUCAGUAGGUUGGUCAUGCCCUUGGUAUGUACUGGCCUCACUGAUUCCUCCCUCUUGAAGAACUGUAAUGUUAUUAAUUUGGUGUUGCGGGGAAUCAGGACUGUUACUUUGAAAAAAUUAGAGUGUUUAAAGCAGGCUUACGCUUGAAUACAUUAGCAUGGAAUAAUGAAAUAGGACGUUUGAUCCUAUUUUGUUGGUUUCUAGGAUUGACGUAAUGAUUAAUAGGGAUAGUUGGGGGCAUUAGUAUUCAAUUGUCAGAGGUGAAAUUCUUGGAUUUAUUGAAGACUAACUACUGCGAAAGCAUUUUGCCAAGGAUGUUUUCAUUAAUCAAGAACGAAAGUUAGGGGAUCGAAGACGAUCAGAUACCGUCGUAGUCUUAACCAUAAACUAUGCCGACUAGGGAUCGGAUGAUGUUAAUUUUUUAAUGACUCAUUCGGCGCCUU
rnacentral:rRNA from 1 species